ensembl:lncRNA novel transcript
GAAAGCAGGUGGAGAAGGAGUCCUGCUUGUUCUCAGCCUUCCUUUUUUCCUCCAGUCUGGGAUGUAGAUGAGAUGGUUGAAGCUCCAGCAGUCAUGGUGGAUCAUGAGGACACUCUGAGGAUGGAAACAAUGUGCUUGGAGGUUGAGUAAGAAAGACAGAAGGAGCUUGGAUCCCUGCUGACUGUAGAACUCUCCCUCACAGCCUGAAAGUACCUCCUUCCAGCCUUUUUUCACAUGAGAGAAAUGAACCUCUAACUUGUUUAAUCUGGAUUAUUCUGGGCUUUCUGUUGUGUGCAGUGGAACCCAAUCUUCAUCGAGUUCCCCUUCCCAAGAGUUCUGUCAUUUUUCCUGCAUUCUUUUUAGAUUUCAUAGCAUUUACUCUUUCCGAUAGAUGUGAAAAUUCUUUGAAAAGUUAACAUCUUGAAUAAUGAAAGAUAGCCUGUGCAACCCACGCAGAAGUAGGAGCUUUAAGCAAAGUUUUGUAGAGAGGACUGCAGAAUUUCUCUGUGUGUCUCGCUGGGACCUCAGAAUUUUUACCAGAAAAGGCAGGAGGGGACUGCCUGGUUUAAGCAUCUCUCCCUAACUGUGGUUUGGAAAAGUUUUUUUAAUUUGAGAAUUUAAACAGUCAAUACAAGGAUUAUUCCAACCUGGUUGAUCCAUGCUCUGAAAUGAGAACUCCCAUAGUUUAUCAUCUCUAAGAUACUAAAAUGCACAAUAUUUUAAAUCAAGGAAGGAAAAAUUCUGCCAGCUAUAAUUGUAAGAUGCAUCCUGAUUCCAGAAAUGUUAAAUGUGAAGAGGUUGCUUUUUUAGAUCAAUGAAGUAUGGUACAUAUAGUUAACCAAACAGUUAACUUAAGCAUCAUUAUCCACAAGCAGCCAGAGACAUACUACAUAGAAUUGUGCUGUUAACUUUCUGUUCUGCUCUUGCCAAGAAAUAGGUGAGAACUUUCUGUAUCCCAAGCAGAUUUUGUUCCACAAAAAGGAAACGGAGGUCUGGAGAAAUGAUGCAGGUUGGUGGCAAACCCAAGAUUCACCUGGAAAAAAUUCCAUUCUCCUCAAAAUGUGGCUAUCAAGGCCUAAGAUGAUCUUGGAAGCUGCAGGCUGAAGAUGGCAGGGCCUGAGUCCCUGAGCUACUGUGUGGAGUAGAGCCCCACCUCCUGCUGACCAGGAAUAUAGGCACUGGUGGUUACAUAAGUAAGGAAUCAACUUCUGAUACGUACAGUCGCUGAGAUUUGGGGGUUUAUGUGUUACGGCUGCUGAUGUUACCUUAAUUUCUAUUUUGAACCCUGUAGUGGGCUGAAUUAUGUUCCUGCCAAGAACUAUGUCUAAGUCCUCAUCCCCAGUACGCGAGAAUGUGACUUUAUUUUAAAAUAGCAUUAUUGCAGAUGUAUUGAAAUUAUGGAUCUAGACUUGAAAUCAUCUUGGAUUUAGGGUGGGCCUUGAAUCCAAUGAUGAGUGUUCUUAGACAGAAAAGGAGGAGAUGCGGAGAGAAACAGAGAAGAGAUGAUGUGAAGCCUGAGGCAGAGAUUGGGGCGAUGCAUCUGCAAGUCAAGGUUAGCCCCCAGCAGGCAGGAGUGAGGCAUGGAGCAUAUUUACCCUCAGAACCUCCAAGAGGAACCAAUUUUUCCAACACCUUGAUUUUAGUCUCCUGGUCUCUGGAGCUCUAAGAAAAUAAACUUCCGUUGUUUUAAGCCA